GACGAACGCUGGCGGCGUGCUUAACACAUGCAAGUCGAACGGAAAGGCCCUGCUUUUGUGGGGUGCUCGAGUGGCGAACGGGUGAGUAACACGUGAGUAACCUGCCCUUGACUUUGGGAUAACUUCAGGAAACUGGGGCUAAUACCGGAUAGGAGCUCCUGCUGCAUGGUGGGGGUUGGAAAGUUUCGGCGGUUGGGGAUGGACUCGCGGCUUAUCAGCUUGUUGGUGGGGUAGUGGCUUACCAAGGCUUUGACGGGUAGCCGGCCUGAGAGGGUGACCGGCCACAUUGGGACUGAGAUACGGCCCAGACUCCUACGGGAGGCAGCAGUGGGGAAUAUUGCACAAUGGGCGGAAGCCUGAUGCAGCAACGCCGCGUGCGGGAUGACGGCCUUCGGGUUGUAAACCGAUUUCGCAUGUGACGAAGCGUGAGUGACGGUAAUGGGUAAAGAAGCACCGGCUAACUACGUG
rnacentral:rRNA from 1 species